rnacentral:rRNA from 1 species
AUGCCUUAGUACGGCGAGUGAAGCGGCAAAAGCUCAAAUUUGAAAUCUGGCGUCUUCGACGUCCGAGUUGUAAUUUGAAGAAGGCAACUUUGUAGCUGGUCCUUGUCUAUGUUCCUUGGAACAGGACGUCAUAGAGGGUGAGAAUCCCGUGUGGCGAGGAUCCCAGUUAUUUGUAAAGUGCUUUCGACGAGUCGAGUUGUUUGGGAAUGCAGCUCUAAGUGGGUGGUAAAUUCCAUCUAAAGCUAAAUAUUGGCGAGAGACCGAUAGCGAACAAGUACAGUGAUGGAAAGAUGAAAAGAACUUUGAAAAGAGAGUGAAAAAGUACGUGAAAUUGUUGAAAGGGAAGGGCAUUUGAUCAGACAUGGCGUUUGCUUCGGCUUUCGCUGGGCCAGCAUCAGUUUUAGCGGUUGGAUAAAUCCUCGGGAAUGUGGCUCUGCUUCGGUAGAGUGUUAUAGCCCGUGGGAAUACAGCCAGCUGGGACUGAGGAUUGCGACUUUUGUCAAGGAUGCUGGCGUAAUGGUUAAAUGCCGUCCGUUUC